rfam:Providencia rettgeri Dmel1 chromosome, whole genome shotgun sequence.
AAGAUACAUUAUUGUUUGAGUAUCCUGAAAACGGGCUUUUCAGCACAGUAAUGUAUAUUUUAACUUAGGAGUGCAUAGUGGCCCGUAUAGCAGGCAUUAACAUUCCUGAU